UGGGGGAUAUUGCACAAUGGGCGAAAGCCUGAUGCAGCGACGCCGCGUGGGGGAUGAAGGCCUUCGGGUUGUAAACUUCUUUUGCUCUGAACAAGGCGCACCAUGGGGUGUGUUGAGUGUAGGGGGUGAUUAGCGCCGGCUAACUACGUGCCAGCAGCCGCGGUAAUACGUAGGGCGCGAGCGUUGUCCGGAAUUAUUGGGCGUAAAGGGCUUGUAGGUGGCUGGUUGCGUCUGUCGUGAAAGCUCAUGGCUUAACUGUGGGUUUGCGGUUGAUACGGGCUGGCUUGAGUGCAGUAGAGGAGACUGGAAUUCCUGGUGUAGCGGUGGAAUGCGCAGAUAUCAGGAGGAAUACCGGUGGCGAAGGCGGGUCUCUGGGCUGUUACUGACACUGAGGAGCGAAAGCAUGGGGAGCGAACAGG
rnacentral:rRNA from 1 species